rnacentral:tRNA from 1 species
GGAGAGGUGUCCGAGAGGCCGAAGGAGCACGACUGGAAAUCGUGUUGGUGGGCAAAACCUGCCACGUGGGUUCAAAUCCCACCCUCUCCGCCA